rnacentral:rRNA from 1 species
UUGGAGGGCAAGUCUGGUGCCAGCAGCCGCGGUAAUUCCAGCUCCAAUAGCGUAUAUUAAAGUUGUUGCAGUUAAAAAGCUCGUAGUUGAAUUUCGGGGUCAGCAGGUUGGUCGUGCCACUGGUAUGCACUGGUCUCGCUGAUUCCUCCCUCUUGUAGAACCGUAAUGCCAUUAAGUUGGUGUUGCGGGGAAACAGGACUGUUACUUUGAAAAAAUUAGAGUGUUUAAAGCAAGCUAACGCUUGAAUACAUUAGCAUGGAAUAAUGAAAUAGGACGAUCGAUCCUAUUUUGUUGGUUUCUAGGGUUGACGUAAUGAUUAAUAGGGAUAGUUGGGGGCAUUAGUAUUCAAUUGUCAGAGGUGAAAUUCUUGGAUUUAUUGAAGACUGACUACUGCGAAAGCAUUUGCCAAGGAUGUUUUCAUUAAUCAAGAACGAAAGUUAGGGGAUCGAAGACGAUCAGAUACCGUCGUAGUCUUAACCAUAAACUAUGCCGACUAGGGAUCGGAUGAUGUUAAUUUUUUAAUGGCUCAUUCGGCGCCUUACGGGAAAC